GUGCCAGCAGCCGCGGUAAUACGUAGGGUGCGAGCGUUGUCCGGAAUUACUGGGCGUAAAGAGCUCGUAGGUGGUUUGUCGCGUUGUUCGUGAAAACUCACAGCUUAACUGUGGGCGUGCGGGCGAUACGGGCAGACUAGAGUACUGCAGGGGAGACUGGAAUUCCUGGUGUAGCGGUGGAAUGCGCAGAUAUCAGGAGGAACACCGGUGGCGAAGGCGGGUCUCUGGGCAGUAACUGACGCUGAGGAGCGAAAGCGUGGGGAGCGAACAGGAUUAGAUACCCUGGUAGUCCACGCCGUAAACGGUGGGUACUAGGUGUGGGUUCCUUCCUUGGGAUCCGUGCCGUAGCUAACGCAUUAAGUAUCCCCGUCCUGGGGAGUACGUGCCGCAACGGCUAAAACCUCAAACGGAAUUGUAUCGGGGGCCCGCACAAGCGGCGGAGCAUGUGGAUUAAUUCGAUGCAACGCGAAGAACCUUACCUGGGUUUGACAUGCACAGGACGCCGGCAGAGAUGUCUGUUGCCCUUGUGGCCUGU
rnacentral:rRNA from 1 species